GAUGAACGCUGGCGGCGUGCUUAACACAUGCAAGUCGAACGAACGACUAUUAACAGAACCUUUCGGGGCGAAGAUGAUAGAAGUUAGUGGCGGACGGGUGCGUAACGCGUGGGUAAUCUGCCUUUGUCAAAGGAAUAACUAUUCGAAAGAAUAGCUAAAACCGUAUAACAUAUUAAUAGGGCAUCCUAAUAAUAUCAAAACGAUAGUGGACAAAGAUGAGCCCGCGUCUGAUUAGCUAGUUGGUGAGAUAAAAGCCCACCAAGGCAACGAUCAGUAGCCGACCUGAGAGGGUGAACGGCCACAUUGGAACUGAGACACGGUCCAAACUCCUACGGGAGGCAGCAGUGGGGAAUAUUGCACAAUGGGGGGAACCCUGAUGCAGCAACGCCGCGUGAGUGAAGAAGGCAUUCGUGUCGUAAAACUCUGUAGUAGGGGAAGAAAGAAAUGACAGUACCCUAAAAGAAAGC
rnacentral:rRNA from 1 species